CUUUGGUAUUUGGGGACUAUCCGGAUGAAAUGAAAAGAACCUUGGGAUCGAGAUUACCGGUUUUCUCGGAGGAAGAGUCAGAGCAAGUUAAAGGAUCAUCUGACUUUGUAGGAAUUAUUCACUACACAACAUUUUAUGUCACAAAUCGAGCCUCAGCUUCAAUCUUUCCCAUCAUGAACCAAGGCUUCUUUAAAGACAUGGGCGUAUAUAUGAUCUGUAAGCUAAGUUUAUUUUCAUCAUCAGUCAAAAAGCUUCUCAACUCUUUUCACUGAUAACUCUUCUUCUUUGGACAGCUGCUGGGAAUUCUUCAUUAUUCGAAGUAAAGUCCUACAAAUCUGCAGAAUAUUUAUAUGCCAAAAACUAUUGUUUGAUGAUCUUCUUGAAUCUGAUGAUUUUCCUUAUACAAUUGCUUUUCUUGAAGUGGGAGGCUACUCCAUGGGGUCUUGAAGGUGUUCUUGAGCAUCUAAAGCAAAGCUAUAACAAUCCUCCAAUCUACAUUCUUGAAAAUGGUACACUUCAUUCUAUUUUGUCUUCUUGCUCUGUUUAGUCUACUUGAAAGCACACUUUUUGUUCUUAAGAUUCUUCAAAUGGCACCAAAAAACAAAAUCAGGUAAACCGAUGAAACACGAUUCGAUGCUACAAGACAUACCAAGAGUUGAAUACAUUCAAGGCUACAUUGGUGCUGUUCUCAACGCCAUCAAGUAUGAUUCUCUUUCUUCAUCUUUUUAGUCCUCAUAUUAUCUUUUUGAAAUGGUCUGAUAUCCCGGUUUGAUUCCGGUUUACUUGGACUCUCUCUUUGUGACAAAUCUUUUGACUGAUCAGGAAUGGAUCGGACACGAGAGGUUACUUCGUAUGGUCGAUGAUUGAUGUGUAUGAGUUAUUGAGUGGAUAUACGACCAGCUUCGGAAUGUAUUAUGUGAAUUUCAGCGAUCCUGGUCGCAAGAGGUCUCCAAAGCUCUCUGCUUCUUGGUAUUCUGGUUUUCUCAAUGGUACAAUUGAUGUUGUUUCUCAAGAUAGUACUCAGUUGCAGAGCAACUUCUCUGCCUCUUCUUCCUUGUAAUGUUAACAACACUCAAACACAACCACAAAAUGAACCAUUAUGAUGUGUUACCUACAUAUUGUACGUAGAGUUGGUUUAAUUAAUCUCCCACGUUUUGUAAUUUUAUGUCGGUCACACUCACACCACAAGGAUUUAUUUACACUUGGGGCAAAAAAUAUACAGUAUAUUUGUUUGCUUUAACGAAUGGAGGAGAAGGAAUAGAAAGAUGGGUCAUUCUCACUCAAUAGUAAAUGGGUCCAAAUUAGGACAAAACCUUUCAAUUAUUUAUUCGCUUUGAACUUAGACAAAAAGAAGGAAAAUAAAAAUGAAACCUUUGUCUCUGUUUUCUAGUUUUAUUCUGGUCACCGGUUUGGCAACAUGUUACAUUGAUGCCUUCACCAGGAACGAUUUUCCAGAGGAUUUCCUCUUCGGAGCCGCCACUUCGGCUUAUCAGGUUUUGACUCUCUCUGCUUUUUGGGUUCUUUUUUUCAUACUAUAUGAUUGCUUCCUGCCUCUAAAUAUAGAGUUCAUUGGGGAAUGUAUGGAAAUAGUGGGAAGGAGCCUUUGAUGAAGACGGAAAAACUCCUAGCGUCUGGGAUACAACCUCCCACUGUGGUAAGCUUUUCUGUUUACAUUAGUUUUAUAUGUUCUUUAUAUGAACUUUUUUUUAUAGAUCCUUGUUCAAAAAAUUGCAGAUAAUGGAGAUAAUGGAGAUAUAGCAAGUGAUGGGUAUCACAAAUACAAGGUUAGUCUCUCUUCUUUGCCAUUUUACUUUCCGAAGAAGUUAUCGUAAGUCUCUGGCCCUGCAUUCGAUGUUAUUGUGACUUUGCCAGGAAGAUGUUAAGUUGAUGGCAGAAAUGGGCUUAGAAUCAUUCAGAUUCUCUAUCUCCUGGUCAAGACUUAUACCUAGUAACGCCUCUUCCUUGUUUCUUAAUUUGCAAGUAACUAAUUAACGAUAUUGUUCCUGACCUCUUUAAACCCUUUUUGUCAGAUGGAAGAGGACCCAUUAACCCCAAAGGUCUACUGUUUUACAAGAACCUCAUCAAAGAAUUACGAGGCCAUGGUGAGGUUUUUGUCUUUACACGUUAUCGCAACUAAAGUCAAUUCAUAGCUUCUGAGUUCUGAUAGACAUAUUGACAAAACUAAAUAUUGACAGGAAUCGAACCACACGUUACACUUUACCACUAUGAUCUUCCUCAGUCUCUUGAAGAUGAGUACAGAGGCUGGAUCAACCGAAAAAUCAUGUAAAGGAUAACAAAAGAUUUGAUCUAACAAAGUCACUUUUUAAAAUACGAAUAGAAAACCAAAAACAAUGCUGUUUAUUUGUUAUAUUGCAGAGAAGACUUCACUGCUUUUGCAGAUGUAUGCUUCAGAGAGUUUGGGGAUGAUGUGAAGUUAUGGACUACAAUCAACGAAGCUACUUUAUUCGCCAUUGGUUCUUAUGGCGACGGAAUGAGGUAUGGACAUUGUCCUCCUAUCAAUUACUCUACCGGAAAUUCUUGUACGGAAACAUAUAUUGCAGGCCAUAACAUGUUGCUAGCUCACGCCUCUGCUUCAAAUUUGUAUAAGCUCAAGUACAAGGUAUACAUAUAAUAUAUCUCUCUGUUCCGCUCUUAAAACGUAUGAACAUAAUUCAUAUGAUGGUGCAGACUAAGCAAAGAGGAUCCGUGGGCCUUAGUAUAUAUGCAUAUGGGUUAUAUCCUUAUACAAACUCCAAGGACGAUGAAAUCGCAACUCAAAGAGCUGAAGCUUUCCUCUUUGGCUGGUGAGGAAUAAGCUUUAUUUGUUUCAGUAACUUGAGGACAAAAUCUGAAGGCUAAAUCGAUAAUUCAGGAUGUUGAAGCCUUUGGUAUUUGGGGACUAUCCGGAUAUAAUGAAGAGGACCUUGGGAUCGAGAUUACCGGUUUUCUCAGAGGAAGAGUCAGAGCAAGUGAAAGGAUCAUCUGACUUUGUAGGAGUUAUUCACUACAACACAUUCUAUGUCACAAACCGACCUGCACCUUCUCUCGUUACCACCAUUAACGAACUCUUCUUUACAGACAUUGGCGCAUCUCUGAUAGGUAAGCCUAGUUUAUUUUCAUUCGAUCGAACAAGCUUCCCAAAUCUUUUAGCUGAUAACUCUUCUUCUUUGGACAGCCACUGGGAAUGCUUCACUAUUCGAGGUAAGGACCUAUAAAUCCGUAGAACACAAUACAUAUAUUUAGGCCAAAAGCUCUGGUUUGAUGCUUCUUGUUUUUCUUGAAGUUUGAUGCUAUUCCAUGGGGUCUGGAAGGUAUUCUGGAGCAUCUAAAGCAGAGCUAUAACAAUCCUCCAAUCUACAUUCUUGAAAACGGUACACUUCAUUCUAUUUUUGACUUCUUGCUCUGUUCUGUAUGUUUGAGAGCACAACUUUUUGUUCUUAAGAUUCUUCAAAUCACACCCAAAAAUAAAAAUAAAAAAACAGGUAAGCCGAUGAAACAUGGUUCAACGCUACAAGACACACCAAGAGUUGAAUUCAUUCAAGCUUACAUUGGUGCUGUGCUCAACGCCAUCAAGUAAGAUUCUUCUUCUUCAUCUUUCAGUUCGCAUUGAUUGUUUUAUUCCUGACAAAUAUUUUGACUGAUCAGGAAUGGAUCGGACACGAGAGGUUACUUUGUAUGGUCGAUGGUUGAUUUGUAUGAGUUAAUAGGUGGAUAUAUGACCAGCUAUGGAAUGUACUAUGUGAAUUUCAGCGAUCCCGGUCGCAAGAGGUCUCCAAAGCUCUCUGCUUCUUGGUACUCUGGUUUUCUCAAUGGUACAAUUGAUGUUGCUUCUCAAGAUACUAUUCAGUUGCAGACAAAAUUCUCUGGCUCUUCUUCGUUGUAAUGUAUUUAAAACUAAAGCAUCCUGGUUUGGUUUGAUUUCAUCUAUCGUAUGAAACAAACUCAAUGAGUUGGAAAAUGGUUUGAUAAGAUUUGCAUAUGAAUAAUGAAUUGAUGUAGCUUUUGAGACCCACGAGAGUAGCAUAUAUAGAUUCUAGAAACUCGAACACAAUCACAAAAGUCACAAAGACACUAAAGGCUUAAAUUCCAACGUUAAGAGAAAAUUAAUAGUAGUAAAAAGUGCAUCUGGUGUAAAAUUUAACAAAAUUAGUAUUUUUGUUUGCCAAACACAAAUACAAUAAAAAUCUAAAUACUCGGUUACACCCAGGGGAGGAUCCAAAAGUUUUUUUAGUACAGGGCACAUCUAUAUUUAUCUAAAAUAUGGAGAGAGAGAAAAUGAGCAUAAAAUAACCAUAAAACUCUACUCACUCUUCUUUUAUUUUGGUACAUACAAAUAUCAUUAAAACAAAAUAUAUCUUAAAAUUUAACUAAACGAGCAUUUAUUUUGGUCCCAAAAUAUAAUGAACAGAAACGGAAAAAAAAAUCUACAAAUCUAAUAUUUUUUUUUAUUAUUUUCCGAAAUUUGUUUUUAUACUACAAACGAACCAUUAUGAUGUGUUACCUAUAUUGGCAUGUAUGUACGUAGAGAAGGUACAUCUAAGGAUUACACUUCACCGAAAAAAAGAUAUUUCUAUAGACUAUAGUCGUCCUCACAUGUAUAUUUGUCGCGUAUUACGAGUGGAAGAGAGUAGAAAAGAUAUUUCUAUAGACUAUAGUCUUCACAAUUCACCAAAAUACACUUCACUCAAUUAUGUAUUUCUUUUUUUAAUGGUCCAAGAAAACGACUGAACCGGACCCUUCAAUUAUUUAUUCAUUUGGACUCAAACUAGAGGAGGAAAAUAAAAAAUGAAACAUUUCUAUCUGUUUUCCAUUAUUCUGGCUAUCGUUUUGGUGACAAGCUACAUUGAUGCCUUCACCAGAACCGAUUUUCCAGAGGAUUUCCUCUUCGGAGCCGCUACUUCUGCUUAUCAGGUUCGAGUCUGCUACAACAUCAAUGGCAAUUUGUUUUGUUCCAUUUUUAUUUGUUUUUUCUAAAAUUUGAGUUUUUUGGGGGGAUUUGUGGAAAUAGUGGGAAGGUGCUGUUGAUGAAGACGGAAGAACUCCUAGCGUCUGGGAUACAAGCUCCCACUGUCGUAAGCUUUUUUUUUGUUUAAAUUUUGAGUCAUUAUUCGGCGUUUGUAUGAGAAAAUUUUUUACUUCAAAAAUUGCAGAUAAUGGAAGUAAUGGAGAUAUAGCAUGUGAUGGGUAUCACAAAUACAAGGUUACUCUCUUUUCUUUGCCGUUUACUUGUCUAAGAAGUUAUCGGCUCUGUUUUUUCAAAUUCAAUGUUAUUGUAACUUUUGCAGGAAGAUGUUAAGCUGAUGGCUAAUAUGGGCUUAGAAGCAUUCAGAUUCUCCAUCUCUUGGACAAGACUUAUACCUAGUAAAUGCCUCUUCCUGGUUUCUUGAUUUGCAAGUAACUAACGAUAUUGUCCCUGACCUCUUUAAACCCUUUUUGUCUUUGUCUAUGUUAAUUUUUCAGAUGGAAGAGGACCCAUUAACCCAAAAGGUCUAUUGUUUUACAAGAACCUCAUUAAAGAACUACGAAGCCAUGGUGAGGUUUUUGUCUUACCACUUUGUCGCAAGUCGCAACUAAAGCCAAUUAAUAGCUUCUGACAAAUCUUUUGGCAAAACUAUUAUUUGCACUUUAACAGGAAUCGAACCUCACGUUACACUUUAUCACUACGAUCUUCCUCAGUCUCUUGAAGAUGAGUAUGGAGGAUGGAUCAACCGCAAAAUAAUGUAAAGGAUCAAAGAAGAUUAUGACCUAACAAAGUCACUUUUUAAAAUAUGAACAGGAAAUAAACAAUGUUGUUUAUUUGUUAUAUUGCAGAGAAGACUUCACUGGUUUUGCAGAUGUAUGCUUCAGAGAGUUUGGGGACGAUGUGAAGUUAUGGACUACAAUCAACGAAGCUACAAUAUUCGCCUUUGCUUUUUAUGGCGAAGGAAUAAAGUUUGGACAUUGUUCUCCUACCAAAUACAUCAAUUGCUCUACCGGAAAUUCUUGUAUGGAAACAUAUAUUGCAGGCCAUAACAUGUUGCUAGCUCAUGCCUCUGCCUCAAGUUUGUAUAAAUUAAAGUACAAGGUAUUCAUAUUUAUCUCUUUUUCGCUCUUAAAAACUCUCCACCAGUAUGAACGUAAUCCAUGGUGCAGAGUAAGCAAAGAGGAUCCAUAGGCCUUAGUAUAUUUGCAUUGGGGUUAUCUCCUUAUACAAACUCCAAGGACGAUGAAAUCGCAACUGAAAGAGCUAAAGCUUUCCUCUUUGGCUGGUGAGGAAUAAGCUUUCUUUGUUUUAAAAACUUGAGGACAAAAUCUGAAGACUUAAAUUGAUAAUUCAGGAUGUUGAAGCCUUUGGUAUAUGGGGACUAUCCGGAUGAAAUGAAAAGAAUCUUGGGAUCGAGAUUACCGGUUUUCUCAGAGGAAGAGUCGGAGCAAGUGAAAGGGUCAUCUGACUUUGUAGGAAUUAUUCACUACACGACAGUCUAUGUCACAAACCGACCCGCACCUUAUAUAUUUCCCAGUAGCACUAACAAAGGCUUCUUUACAGACAUGGG
rnacentral:lncRNA from 1 species